AAUGCGAUAAGUAAUGUGAAUUGCAGAAUUCAGUGAAUCAUCGAAUCUUUGAACGCACAUUGCGCCCUGUGGUAUUCCGCAGGGCAUGCCUGUUCGAGCGUCAUUU
rnacentral:rRNA from 1 species